AUUGAACGCUGGCGGCAUGCUUUACACAUGCAAGUCGAACGGCAGCGCGGGCUUCGGCCUGGCGGCGAGUGGCGAACGGGUGAGUAAUGCAUCGGAACGUGCCCAGUAGUGGGGGAUAGCCCGGCGAAAGCCGGAUUAAUACUGCAUACGACCUGAGGGUGAAAGCGGGGGACCGAAAGGCCUCGCGCUCUUGGAGCGGUCGAUGUCGGACUUGCUAGUUGGUGGGGUAAAGGCUUACCAAGGCGACGAUCCGUAGCUGGUCUGAGAGGACGACCAGCCACACUGGGACUGAGACACGGCCCAGACUCCUACGGGAGGCAGCAGUGGGGAAUUUUGGACAAUGGGGGCAACCCUGAUCCAGCCAUGCCGCGUGCGAGAAGAAGGCCUUCGGGUUGUAAACCGCUUUUGUUCGGGAAGAAAUCCUCUGGGCUAAUACCCCGGGGGGAUGACGGUACCGGAAGAAUAAGCACCGGCUAACUACGUG
rnacentral:rRNA from 1 species